UACAGAGGUCUCAAGCGUUGUUCGGAUUCAUUGGGCGUAAAGGGUGCGUAGGCGGCGCGGUAAGUCGGAUGUGAAAUCUCGGAGCUUAACCUCGAAACUGCAUUCGACACUGCCGUGCUUGAGGACUGGAGAGGAGACUGGAAUUUACGGUGUAGCGGUGAAAUGCGUAGAUAUCGUAAGGAAGACCAGUGGCGAAGGCGGGUCUCUGGACAGUUCCUGACGCUGAGGCACGAAGGUCAGGGGAGCAAACGGG
rnacentral:rRNA from 1 species